GUUUUAAGUACGUAUUAAUAAUGAUAAUAUGUAUAAAAGUCUUGACCAAUUACGUGCCAGCAGUCGCGGUAAUACGUAGGAGACGAGCAUUAUUCAUAUUAAAUAGGUUUAAAGGGUACCCAAACGGUCAAUAUAUCUAAAAAAAAGAAGUACUUGACUAGAGUUAUAUGUGAGAAGACCGUACUUGAGGUGGAGAGAUUAUAUUCUGUGAUACCAAAAGGACUGAUAAAGGCGAAGGCUGUCUUUUGUGUAAUAACUGACGUUGGAGGACGAAGGCAUAGAGAACUAACAGGAUUUGACACCCUAGUAGUCUUUGCAGACAAUGAUGAAUGCCAUGAACUAGAUUAUAAAUUUAGUUUUAUAAGUGAAAACGAAAGCAUUUCACCUCAAGAGUAAUGUGGCAACG
rnacentral:rRNA from 1 species